AUGGCCCGCAUUGCGGCGUUCUUGCUGGUGGCCCUGCUCUCCUUAGCCGGGCAUCUCGCGCAGUCCGCGCCAUGCCGAUCAUGCCCGCCCACAAAGCCUUCCCAGCCUGCACCGUGUAAGCACAAGUCCUCACCAUCGUCCAUACCCUGCCCUCCACCUUCACAAACUCCCAUGCCCUCAACCACACCCACACUCACCCCGGUGACUCCGACGCCGGCACCGACCCCGACUGUCUUCAUCCCUCCACCUACAAACACUCCGGCACCCACGCCCAUACCGGCCUCUGUAACUCCAACAUCGGCACCGACCCCUAUGAUGCCUCCAAUACCAACCCCUAUAACUCCAACGCCGGUACCAGCUCCUCUCUCUCCAACACCAACACCGGUGGCCCCAACACCUACAACCGUGAUGCCGCCGACACAGAUGCCUAUGGCACCAAUGCCGGCACCGACCCCUGUAUCUCCAACGCCAAACCCGGUGGCCCCAAGACCUAUCCCUGUGAUGCCGCCAACACCGACGCCGGCAUCGACCCCUAUCUCUCCAACGCCAAGUCCGGUGGCGCCAACACCGACCCGUGNNNNNNNNNNGGUGGCCCCAACACCGACUCCUAUGAUACCGCCAUCACCAACCCUUGUGACUCCGAUGCCAGCACCAACCCCUGUCUCUCGAACGCCAAUCCCGGUGGGCCCAACACCGACCCUCGUGAUGCCGCCAGCACCCACCCCUGUGACUCCGACGCCACCCCCAGCCCCGGCCCCAGCGCCGGCUACAUCGACCGGCAAGUGCCCCGUGGACACACUGAAGCUACUUGCGUGCGUGGACGUGCUCAAUGGGCUGUUGCACGCGGUGAUCGGCAGUAGCGCCAGGAAUACAUGCUGCCCGCUGCUGUCCGGCGUUGCCGACCUCGACGCUGCUCUCUGCCUUUGCACCACCAUCAACGUCAAGGCCCUCAACAUCAACCUCAUGCUGCCCAUCGCCAUCGAGGUGCUCGUCAACCAGUGCGGCAAGAGAGUGCCGAAAGACUUCCGCUGCCCUAAUUAA
rnacentral:rRNA from 1 species